UACGGAGGGUGCAAGCGUUAUCCGGAUUCACUGGGUUUAAAGGGUGCGUAGGCGGGCAGGUAAGUCCGUGGUGAAAUCUCUGAGCUUAACUCAGAAACUGCCAUGGAUACUAUUUGCCUUGAAUAUUGUGGAGGUGAGCGGAAUAUGUCAUGUAGCGGUGAAAUGCUUAGAUAUGACAUAGAACACCAAUUGCGAAGGCAGCUCACUACACAAUCAUUGACACUGAGGGACGAAAGCUAGGGGAGCGAAUGGG
rnacentral:rRNA from 1 species